UACAGAGGGUGCGAGCGUUGUCCGGAAUCACUGGGCGUAAAGGGCGCGUAGGCGGCCCGGUAAGGUUGCGGUGAAAGCCCGGGGCUCAACCCCGGGUCGGCCGUGGCAACUGCUGGGCUGGAGCACAGUAGAGGCGGGUGGAAUUCCGGGUGUAGCGGUGGAAUGCGUAGAUAUCAGGAGGAACACCUGUGGCGAUAGCGGCUCACUGGACCAUAACUGACGCUGAUGCACGAAAGCUAGGGGAGCAAACAGG
rnacentral:rRNA from 1 species